UACGAAGGGGGCUAGCGUUGCUCGGAAUCACUGGGCGUAAAGCGCACGUAGGCGGGUCGUUAAGUCAGGGGUGAAAUCCUGGAGCUCAACUCCAGAACUGCCUUUGAUACUGAAGAUCUUGAGUCCGGGAGAGGUGAGUGGAACUGCGAGUGUAGAGGUGAAAUUCGUAGAUAUUCGCAAGAACACCAGUGGCGAAGGCGGCUCACUGGCCCGGUACUGACGCUGAGGCACGAAAGCGUGGGGAGCAAACAGG
rnacentral:rRNA from 1 species